GCGAGGCGGGGACUGAGAGCCAGCCCCUCUUCCCCCCCUGGCUAAGACCCCCAUCGCGAAUCCUAAGAUCCUUAGGACCCACCUGGAGGACCCUGGGUAUUAGGUGUCCAAGAAGAAAGCUCAGAUCUGCCGACCGCAGGUACCUUACUUGGGAUUUACUAUACCACAGGGGUCCGAACGCAGCCCGGGAUCAGGAAGAAAGCAGGUCGUUUGCAAUCUACCGGAGCCUAAGGGCAGAAGGCAGGAUCGUGGGAACAAUAUCCCAUGGGGGUGUACCCUUUCUGCCAUAUAUGUAGUCACAUCACCCACUCCGCCUUGGAAUAUUAUUAAGGACCAUCUAACACGAGGGUGUAUACGUCCUGUGAUAUUGGGAGUAAUAUCAACUUCUCGGCCUCUGAAUAUGAGGAAGAAUAUCACAGGGAUAUUAAUAACAAUUUCACAGGCUGGGUGAACACAGCCGGCGAUGCUGAAAUUAUUAUCAUCCUCUCCCCCUCUUCCCCUCCUGGCUCUCAGUCCCCGCCUCACGGGUUAUGUAGCGGGUUAUGGCAAGAAGACAAACUGCAGUUUCCUGCACAGAACAGCACAAACAAUGAUCCAAGCUCAGUUACAACACAAUAUUGGUCAUCAUUUGACCAUGGACUUCAAUAUCAACCCUUAGAAACCUUCCUAAAACAGGUCAGCAAAACACCAAGAAGCAAUAUCCUGAAUGAUAGGAAAAUAUCCUUGCUUGUGCAAAUUGUUUCCACUUAAUUUUUUUCAACAAAUGUUAAUUAUAUUUUUACUUUCUAAAAAUUUUUAAUAAAAUAUAGCCUACUUGGUUAAAAAUGGUGUCAAAGCUUUUCUAAAAGUUAAGGCAUUACAUAAUUCAGUGGCCCCUGUGGCUGCCAUGGAUAAUUCUUUUUUUUCUGUUCAUCUUCAAAGAAGGGAAUUCAGAAUCAGGAAAAGAUCUUUGGAAAUUCAUUAGCAUAUGG
rnacentral:lncRNA from 10 species